rnacentral:rRNA from 1 species
AACGGGAUCCGGGCAGCUUGCUGCCUGGUGAGAGUGGCGAACGGGUGAGUAAUGCGUGACCAACCUGCCCCAUGCUUCGGAAUAGCUCCUGGAAACGGGUGGUAAUGCCGGAUGCUCCGCACCGUCGCAUGAUGGUGUGGGAAAGGGUUACCGGCAUGGGAUGGGGUCGCGUCCUAUCAGCUUGUUGGCGGGGUGAUGGCCUGCCAAGGCUUCGACGGGUAGCCGGCCUGAGAGGGCGACCGGCCACAUUGGGACUGAGAUACGGCCCAGACUCCUACGGGAGGCAGCAGUGGGGAAUAUUGCACAAUGGGCGAAAGCCUGAUGCAGCGACGCCGCGUGCGGGAUGACGGCCUUCGGGUUGUAAACCGCUUUUGAUUGGGAGCAAGCGAGAGUGAGUGUACCUUUCGAAUAAGCACCGGCUAACUACGUG